rnacentral:rRNA from 1 species
UACGUAGGGGGCAAGCGUUAUCCGGAAUUACUGGGUGUAAAGGGUGAGUAGGCGGCAUGGUAAGCCAGAUGUGAAAGCCUUGGGCUUAACCCGAGGAUUGCAUUUGGAACUAUCAAGCUAGAGUACAGGAGAGGAAAGCGGAAUUCCUAGUGUAGCGGUGAAAUGCGUAGAUAUAUGGAGGAACACCGGUGGCGAAAGCGGCUCUCUGGCCUGUAACUGACACUGAGGCUCGAAAGCGUGGGGAGCAAACAGG